GUGAGGAAUAUUGGUCAAUGGAGGCAACUCUGAACCAGCCAUGCCGCGUGCAGGAAGACGGUCCUAUGGAUUGUAAACUGCUUUUAUUUAGGAAUAAACCCCCGGUCGUGCACCGGGGCUGAAUGUACUAAAAGAAUAAGCACCGGCUAACUCCGUGCCAGCAGCCGCGGUAAUACGGAGGGUGCAAGCGUUAUCCGGAAUCAUUGGGUUUAAAGGGUCCGCAGGCGGGUAAAUAAGUCAGAGGUGAAAUCCGGCAGCUCAACUGUCGCACUGCCUUUGAUACUGUUUAUCUUGAAUUUUAGUGGAGUGGGCGGAAUAUGUCAUGUAGCGGUGAAAUGCUUAGAUAUGACGUGGAACACCGAUAGCGAAGGCAGCUCACUAACUAUGAAUUGACGCUCAUGGACGAAAGCGUGGGUAGCAAACAGGAUUAGAAACCCGGGUAGUCC
rnacentral:rRNA from 1 species